rnacentral:snRNA from 1 species
GGAAGUGAGGGCGAUCUGGCUGCGACAUCUGUCACCCCAUUGAUCGCCAGAGUUGAUUUGGCUGAUCUGGCUGGUUAGGCGGGUGUCCCCUUCCUCCCUCACCCCUCCUUGUGUGUCCCUCCGAAGCUGUGCACUCAGUUGAAGAGGACGACCUUCCCAGAUAGAGGAGGACCGUUCUUUGUUCAAGGGUAUAUGAGUAGCUCCCUGCUAGAACCUCCAAACAAGCUCUCUAUCCUUAAAAACAGCAGUACUGAAAAGACGGAUAUGUAGUGCCUUGGUUU